CCAGCCACUCGCUUUGUUUCCCGGCUCCUGUCUAAGCUUGACAGGCCAGGAGAGAGAGCCAGGCUGUCUCGUCUGCCAGCACACCCACCACCCCAGGCAACUCAGGCCCACUCAGGACAGGAAUCUCUCUCUGUGGGGUGGCCUUGUGAAUGCAGGUUUCACAUCUGUGCUGUACGAUGCUUCUACUUCGAAUUCUUAUCUCUGUGGGACAAGAGGUUGGAGCAAAGACUAAGAUGCCUAGGCCCACAUAAAAACUGCUUUCUUAGAGUUUCUCUGUGUCCACAGCCACCAGAUGUGGCUGCUGGGUGGUUCCGUGGGAGGAAGUCUCGGUGGUCAGAUGAGCACAUCUGCCUUGGGGCUGCAGUGAGGUGGGACAAGGAAAAGAGUGCUCUGCGGGGCUGGUGCUGUGGUGUAGUAGGUAAAGCCGAGGCCUGCAGUGCUGGCAUCCCAUAUGGGUGCUGGCUGGGUCAAGUCCUGGCUGCUCCACUUCCAGUCCAGAGCCGUGCUAUGGCCUCGGAAAGCAGUAGAAGAUGGCCCAAGUCCUUGGGCCCCUGCAUCCACAUGAGAGACCUGGAAAAAGCUCCUGGCUCCUGGCUUCGGAUCAGUGCAGCUCCAGCCAUUGUGGCCAUAUGGGGAGUGAACCAGAGGAUGGAAGACCUUUCUCUCCCUGCCUCUCCUCCUCUCUCUAUAACUCCGACUUCCAUAUAAAUAAAUAAAUCUUUUUAUAAAAGUGAGCAUCGUUCAAACCACAGAAUGACGCAGCAUCCUACUGUCCUGAAUGGAGGGGAGUGACAGCUGCUUCCGUCUGACUGUACCCAGAGCCUCGCCCUCAUCAGCCAGUCUGCAGGGAGGAUUAAUUAAUUCAGAGACCCAGUCCCAGGCUUGCCCUCCCUCCCUGACAGCAUGCAAUCCAGGGCAAAGUCCGGUUUCCCUAACCCAAGUCCAGAUCCCAUCACUGAGUCCUUCCUAACAGAUACGUCCUGGGGCUCCAGGCUGGGAGCUCUCCCUCCCUGGAAUGAGCGGGAGGUGAUGCUGGGAGGCCUUUGGCUGGAAGAGAUUGACCAAGCUUUUUCCCUGCCCUAGGCCUCCCACUGUGCCUCCCCUCAAGGGUCAUGUGCUGGAGCUAAACUUCUAUUCCAUCUGUGACAGACUCAGCCUAGGCUUUCCAGCUCAGCUUCUGUAAGAGAAACAUCAUU
rnacentral:lncRNA from 1 species